rnacentral:lncRNA from 1 species
UCCAACAUGCAGGAAGACCCCCUGUACAAAUCUCCAUAAAGAUGGGUGGGGAGGACCUCCUCCCAUCCAUUUCCCCCACUUAGACACAACCUGCUGUUCUCAGCCUCUGUGUCUCUGCCGUGCUCUCCCCUUUCGCCUGAAAUGCCUUUGCUCAUCCUCCAAGCCAUACCCUCACCCUCUACGAUUCCUAAACCACCAGCCUUGCCACAGCCAAUUCGCCCAGCCGACUCCUCCUUCUCCUUCGAAAUCCAACUCAAGUGUACCCUCACUAGAAGGGGGCAGUCUACACAGCAGGCAUGCAGACACGUGGUUAGGAACACAGGUUUUAGAGUUGAACCUCAACACUAGCAUAGAUGAGACGUGCGACUUUGGGAAAGCCACCUCCCAUUUCUGAGCCUCCUUCGGCUCAUCUGGAACAUGGGAGUGUGAACACCUGCUUCACAGAUGUGUCCUGAGAAAGUUGGUUACAUUAAAGGGUUUGGCACAGAACUUGGCAUGUGGAAAGCUCUCAAUGAAUGGCAGCGUGGUUGGAUAGUCCAUGGACCCCAGACUGAAUUAGCUGCCCACCCACCCCCACCGCCCCUGUACUUCUUGAGCAUCCUGUGCUUAUCCCAGCGGCUCAUUGUUUAUCUUACUGUUUUGAUACCUGCCUAUUAUUUGGCCCUGCUAGAUAGUAAAAAAUCAUUAUUAAAAAAUAAAAAUAAAUAAUACACCAUGGAGUAGUGGAACGAUGGCAGCUUACUGGCAAAACGACCUGGCCCAGUUAGCUCCCUUAAGCACAUGGUCUAUCCUUCUAGGCCUCUACUUCUUCAUCUGCAAAAUGAAGAUAAAUCACACUCGGCCUACCUUGCAAAGUCCUUGGGGGUCUUCACCUAGACCACAGGCAAAAGCGGGGCGCUGCAAACAGAGAAGAGCCCCGACAUCACAGCUCCCUGCAGUAGGCCUGCCCUUCAUCCACUCCCUUCUCAGUUUCAAGGCCCGCUUUCCCUCAGGCGGUUCAGGGGGCCUCCCUGACCCUCAGAGUCGUCAUCUAUCAGAUGGACUAAUAACCUCUGUCUGACCCACCCCACAAUCUGAUGAAAUCACGAAUACAAAAAACUUUGGGAGUUCCUCUUGUGGCUUAGCGGAAACGAACCUGACUAGCAUCCAUUCGGAUGCGGGUUCGAUCUCUGGCUUCACUCAGUGGGUGAAGGAUCUGGUGUUGCCCUGAGCUGUGGUGUAGGAAGAGAGUAUGGAGAACUUUCUCAGAUAAGCCCCUUGUAUUUCAUAAGGGGGUGGGCAGGGACAUGACGAAGGAUCAUACGUCCCUUUUCUAAACACAUCAGGAUAAAGGAAAAGGAGUUACCAAAUUGAGCAGCAAAAUCAGUGUUUUGACAACAAAACCAUCACAGAAGUGGCUGCUGGGUAGACAACCCUCAGGUCUGACAGAGACUCUGGGUCUCUGAAGUCCAUUCAAAGUCCCCAAAUGCAAUGCUGAGAUGAGCCCAAGGUGGCUGUGACCACCCCCGACUCCCACCCUCCCCAGUCUCCAAGUCCUGCCUUGUUCCUACUCGGUGGAGCUGGGUGGGAGGUGGUGCUGGUGAGAGAACCAGGACCCCACAGCCAUGAGCUGCCCUCUGGCCCACAGGCACCCCCAUUCAGGCAGGCACUACCUCUGGCAGCUUUCUGGACUCUAUUUCUGAAAACAUCCUAGCCCACCAGGCCCAGAACUGAUGACACCUUACUUUCCUUCCUGCAUCUUCACAUAAAUAAUCAGAAACUGAUAAGAAUGACUUAAACAAAAAUAGAAGUCUAUUUUUUUUCUCAUGGAAGAGGUCCAGAAGAAGGCAACUUAGGAUCUAUGGCCUUUAAGAACCCAAGCGUCUUCCAUCUUUCUGCUCCUCCAUCCUCAGCAUACAUCUACCCUCAAAGUUCUCUCAUAGUCCAAGAUUGCUUCUGCAAUUCUAUUAUCAUCAUGCUCCAUUCUAAAAGGAAAAUUUUUUAAAAAGACCUAUGUCUUCCAUAUCCCCUUCCCUUUUUAAGGGGCUUUCCUCACAUCCCACCCCAAAACUUCAUCUUCUAUCUCAUUUGGCCAAUACCUAGUCACAGGGCCACCCCUUGCUUCUAAGGAGGCUGGGAAAUGUCCUUUUUAACUGGGCAUCUUGCACUCUCCAAUUCACUAAAAUCAGUAUGCAAGAUGAAGAGAAUGGGUAUCAGGCAGGUGGUUAGCAGUCUCCAGGGUUGAUCAUCAGAGAGUAACACAAAUUCUAAAUAGAAAAUCUGGGCAGUUGACAUACUACCCAAAGCAAACUACAGAGUUAAUGCAAUCCCUAUCAAAUUACCCAUGACAUUUUUCAUUGAACUAGAAUGAUCCUAAAAGUUAUAUGGAACCAUAAAAGACCUAGAAUUGCCAAAGCAAUCUUGAGGAACAAGAAGAAAGCAGGAAGCAUAACCUUUCCAGACUUCAGACAAUACUUUAAAGCUACAGUAAUCAAAACAGCACGGUAUUGGCACAGAAAGAGUCAUAUGGAUCAAUGAAACAAAAUAGCCCAGAAAUAAACCCACACACCUACAGUCAAUUAAUCUUCAACAAAGGAGGCAGGAAUAUACAAUGGAAAAAAGGGUCUCUUCAGCAAGUGGUAUUGGGAAAGUUGGACAGCUGCACGUAAAUCAAUGAAGUUAGAACACACCCUCACAAUGUACACAAAAAUAAACUCAAAAUGGCCUAAAGACUUAAAUAUAAGACAUGACACGAUAAAACUCCUAGAAGAGAACAUAAGCAAAACAUUUCCUGACAUAAAUCGUAGCAAUGUUUUCUUAGGUCAGUUUCCCAAGGCAAUAGAAAUAAAAUCAAAUACAAACAAAUGAGACAUAAUCAAAUUUAUAAGCUUUCAUACAGCAAAGGAAACUAUAAACAAAAUGAAGAAAACAACCUACAGACUUGGAGAAAGUAUUUGCAAAAUAAUGUAACUCACAAGGGCUUAAUUUCCAAAAUAUACAAACAGCUCAUACAACUCAACACCAAAAAAACAACCCAAUCAAAAAAUGGGCAAAAAGACCUAAAUAGACAUUUCUCCAAAGAAGACAUACAGAUGGCCAAUAGGCACAUGAAGCGAUGCUCAACAUCACUAAUUAUUUUUGUCUUUUUAGGGCCGCACCCAUGGUAUUUGGAAGUUCCUAGGCUAGGGGUCAAAUCGGAGCUGCAGCUGCUAGCCUACGCCACAGCCACAGCCACAGCCACAGCGCCACAUCUGAGCUGCAUCUGCAAACUUCAUUGCAGCUCACAGCAACGCCAGAUCCUUAAUCCACUGAAAGGGGACAGGGAUCAAAUUUGCAUCCUCUUGGAUACUAGCCAGUUUUGUUUCCACUGAGCCACAACGGGAACCCCCUCACUAAUUAUUAGAGAAACGCAAAUCAAAACUAUAAUGAGGUACCACCUCACUCCAGUCGGAAUAGCCACCAUUUUAAAAAUCUACAAAUAAUAAAUGCUGGACAGGAUGUGGAGAAAAGGGAACCCUCCUACACUGCUGGUGGAAAUGUAAACUGGUACAGCCACUAUGGAAAACAGUAUGGAGAAUACUCAAAAAACUAAAAAUAGAUUUGCCAUAUGAUCCAGCAAUCUCACUUCAGGGCGUAUAUCCAGAGAAAACUGUAAUUCAAAAAGACAUAUGCAGUUGAGUUUAGAGUCAGUUGAAAAAAAGCCCAAGAAAACACCCAUUAUGAUAGAUGGUGCUAAAUUCCAUGUUAAGGAGAAAUACAAGAAAGGGGAACUUGGAAGAGAGGCACCUCUGCAGGUGGGGGACCUCAGAGGCAUCAUGGGGCUGCUUGAAGGAUGAAGGGGAGCUUGAGUGCAGGAGAGGCUGGAAAGUUUGGAAAGGAGGCCAGCAUGUGCAAAGGUGUGACCCUGCAAAAACAGCACAGGGUGUUCUGGAAACCUUUUCCCAGUAUGCACUGAUAUCAGGUAAGGCUCCAGUUUCUGGCCUUUUAUAACCAGCUAUUUAUUUGGCUCAUCUGAACUCAAACAGAUUGGAGGUUGGAUAUCAGCUCCACCAGCUAACAACAAGAGCUCAAGCUAGGGGUUUAACCUUGAGCCUGAGCUUUACCCUCAGCAUGAGCUUCAGCGACCUUGUCUCUACAUGCCCUGGGCUCUGUAGGCUAAGUGAGAUCUCCUGUAUAAACAUGCCAAACGUGGUGCUGAUACAGGGUGAAUUUGCAGUCCAGAUUUCUCCAUUCCCUCCUCUUCUCCAGGGCUAUGGGGUGACCCUCAUAGGUUUUAGGAACCAGGAAGAGGAGACAGUCACCAGCCAAUGGCAUAAGGAGGGCAACAGUGGUUUCUGUGUUGAUGACAUUUGUAAGUGCAAACUGGAACAAGAAAAAAAAUCAGGUGAGAGAAACCAUGAUUCCUGCCAAGGCUUAGACUGCAUUGCUCACCCUGGGGAAAGCAGCUGCAAAGAGCUUUCAAACAGGGGAAAGGUCAACCCGUUGUAAGAGAAUAAGCUGCCAAAGCUUGUGGCCCUGGGCCCUCCUUCCUCAAUUCCCAUGACCCCCUGUGCUGGUUUCCUCCUUGGAGAUGGGAAGGUGACCCCUGCCCUGCCAGGCUGUCUGGGCUCUGUGCAGGGGGUUUGGAGAGUGUAAACUCCAGGCAACCCUGAUGAGGAAGGUUGUUUUCGUCCCCCUCCCUCUGCAGGCUGGUCUCAUCUCAACACUGCCUCCGCACCGGCCUGCGCCCAAAGCUCUCCUUCCUUUUACUUUCCAAAUCCCUUGCGUCCUUCACCACCACACAUCCAGGAGGCCCGUCCUGGUGGCUCUGGUCUAUGCUGAUCCCUGUGCCCUUGAGACACCAUCAGACACCACACCACCAGACAGUCACUCUCUCUUCUGUUUCUUUUUUCUCUUGGGCUCCAUCCGCACCCCACUUG